rnacentral:lncRNA from 1 species
UGCCGGCCCCGCCUCCUCCUUGCAGCCGCCCUGGGGCUCCAGCAGGAUGGUGGGGGGCUUGGGCAGGACCCCGUUGAUGACGGGCAGCAGGGAGGUGCCGGGCACGGGCUCCGGGGCAAAGCCGCACACCUCGCAGGCCGCCCUGCCCAGGAGGUUGCGGAACGUGCAGCGGGCGCAGGGCCACUUCUGCUCCUCCACACUGAGCCGCAGGAUCUGGUCCAGGUCGGGCUUGUGCCGGGGGGCCUCGCAGAUGGAGCACUGGCGCUGGCCGGCCGGGUUCAGGAAGGUGCAGCGGGCGCAGGACCACUCUCCAACCGCAGCCAUGGGCCCGGGCGAGUGGGUGUGGCUGCAAGGGAAGGCGGCCGUCAGCGACUCCCCACGCGUCAAGGCUGACUCCCCACGGGUCGGAGCCGUUGGGUGGAAAAGACUUUGCAACGAGCCGUGCUGGGAAAACUGCAUCUAAACGCUCAAGAGUGAUGCCGGGCCCUCACCUCGCAGCACAGGAAGGAAAUGAACUCAAAACCCACCAACCCCAAAGCUGAAUAUAUGAAAAGCCCUUCCGACUACACAGCGUACAGCCUGUCUUUAAGGCUGGGCAGAGGUGCUACAAAGAUACAGAGCUGGUGAGAAGGUGCCCAGUGUCGGCAACUUCAGGGACACACCAAGAGGUAGGACCUUGCACCUGCUCGGGGCCAGGACCACGGGGCAGAGGGGACGGCGCUGGUGAGGAUGCGGGGAAAGCUGGGGCUGCCCUGAGAGGCUGGCGGGACUGUCAGGGGUCCCGCUGUGCUGGAACACAGACGGUUCCUCGGAAAGGUAAACAGAAUCCCCCGAGGCUUCCUCGGAAAGGUAAACAGAAUCCCCCGAGGCAGCAGGCCCACCCCAGGAAUGUGCUUUACACACGUGAGACCUGGUGCUCUUCUCACAAACACCCCCCAACACACACACACAGGCACUCACUCACACACACACAGGCACUCACACACCCACACCCACGCCCUCACACCCACCCACGCACUCACAUGGAACACAGACGGUUCCUCGGAAAGGUAAACAGAAUCCCCCGAGGCAGCAGGCCCACCCCAGGAAUGUGCUUUACACACGUGAGACCUGGUGCUCUUCUCACAAACACCCCCCAACACACACACACAGGCACUCACUCACACACACACAGGCACUCACACACCCACACCCACGCCCUCACACCCACCCACGCACUCACACACUCACGCACCCACACCCACGCACUCACACACACUCACACCCACCAACCCGCACUCACACCCACCCACACCCACGCACUCACACGCACGCACUCACACCUACCCACCCACUCACACACUCGCACGCACUCACACACACACGCAGGCACUCACACACACCUGCACUCUCUCUCUCUCACACACACACACUCAAAGCAGAUCUGCUCACAACAGUCAGGGUGGAAAGGACCCAGGUACUGUCACUGAAUAAGUGGAUAAAGGAGACACGGAUCACUUGGUCCCCAAGAACGGAUGGGCCCCGAAAGACAACAAGCCUCACGUGUGUGAAUGAAACACAGGCAACGAGCUGGAUAGGCAAACCCAGAGGCAGGCAGAAGCCUGGAGGUUCCUGGGGCUGAGGAGGGGACGGGAGGCUCUCAGCUCCAGGGGCCUCGGGGGCGGGCAGACCUGGCCUCUGGAGGGCGGAUCUGGGUGCGGGAGGCGUCUACACCCCGCAACACCCUCUCCUACACGCACUGCAGCUGCUCUGCUUGGCAGAAAAAUCAAUUGUUCUUUACAACAAGGCACG